CGAUAGUCGGCAGCGAGCGACUCCGCCUCU
rnacentral:sRNA from 1 species